AGUAUAAUAUAUAAACAAAUAGCACUAAGAGUAUUGCUUUCGAGCACGUUUUCUAUGCGACAUCGUAUGACUAAGACUAGGAUAAAGUGAUCUUAUCAUAUUUCUAUAGAGCAGUACGAAUCAGUUAUACAAAAGAUCAAUCUAAAGUUCUUGUAGUACCUAUAUGAAGAUGCGAUGUCGUUCGAAAGAAAUAACCCUAUUGGGAUAAAAAAUUAGCACCGAUCGACAGGCUCUCGUGGACAUCUUGGUACCAGACGUCCUUUCAAUGUACAUGAUUUAUCGCAAUUAAGCUACAAUGAGGGCCGAAAACAUAAAAUGAAUUGUGUACGAGCAGUGACGGACACAUAGACUUCAGCAUUACUCAAGCACUGACUUCAGCGGCACCCAGCCAACCCUGUUCAUAAUCUGCUUUCCCAGGAUCUGUAGUCUGGUAAUUUCAGCUCGCAGCUCUGUGAUAAUGCCCUGGUACUGGUUUACAUGCGUACUUACAUCCACCACAUUCGAUCGAAUCUACAGAGGCUACUACCGGCGCUAACUGAUGGAAAUAUUGGACGGCUAGGGAUUUAUCCACGCCGGGUUUAUAUGAAGCUAGUAUUCGCGACUAGUAUUGGCUGAUGAGGCUGAACGACGCGACGCUAAACACCAGCCUCACACUUGAUAUCAACCCAGUUACAAUGGUUUCCGAUGGAGUAACAUCCGGCGGGUUUUCCGCAGCAAUAAAAAUACUAGCGGUACGAGCCUGCAUCUGGUAGCCAACGGGAAAGCCAGCGAUACCAAGGACACGUCGGGCAGCGGUAUCGGUUAUGCUAUGCAAAUCAAUAAAAUCGCGUGAACGAUGCGAAUAGGAUUCGUGUGUCUUUGGCAAUUGGGCCCCGUUGCAUAGCCUAGGCAAAAAUCAACGAAUACUCUCAUUUCGCUAAAAGCCAUACCGUAUGACAACGUGGCUGGAUUUAGAAAGAAACGUCCUAGAUUCUACCGAUUUCAUUUACGGAUUCACUUACGAUUAGUAGACAUUUUAUUCGUCUUUUACUAAACAAGAUCGAUAAAAGCAUGCGCUUUUUUUCUGAUAACCCUUAACUUCGAACGAACCACAUUUUGCGUUGACCUUCAUAACGGCCUCACCUCGCUGAAGCAUUCAGUGGUCUGACGUUUGCAAAGAGUUAGUAGUAGUAAAGUGCGAUUGUAUUAUUGCUGUUUUGA